GAAAUAUUUCAGCGCUCUACUAAACGCGGUGCACGGAAAGUACUCAAUUUCAACGGUCUCAUAAAUAUGUUCUAAGUUCACUGUUCAGUCAGCCUCGCUGCUUCCCUGCGAGGUCCUUCCUUCGCGACUCGGGACGCUUCUUUUCGGAGGCUGCCCGAAAAUAUGCCUGCGUGAAAGCGCGGCGUCAGAUUAAGUAAAACAAAAUGAAAUGCGACGCCACGGCGAAUAUAUUAAGUAAAAGCAACGCCGAUGCGACGCCCGAAGAAUACAGAACGUGUUCAAUUGUAGGAAUUCACACCGUUUUCGUCAAAAGUGGAUUCUCUGAGCAGCGCGUGCCACUAAGUUUUACACCCUCCCCCACUUUUACGAGCACUCGGUUUAGGAGAAGUCGCGUUUACGAGCAAAUACCGCCCUCGUUCGAUUUACGAGCUGUCCGCCUCCCGGUCAGCGGAGGAAUUCGCGGGCAGCGCUAGUAGCGGCAGCAGCACCGGCACCGCUCUUCUUCUGGACUCGGAGGGACAUAGGAUGCUUACAAAAGGACAUUAGAUCAUCCCACUCGGUGCUACUUGUCAUGAGACGCAGCAAUAUCCAAAAAUUAGAAUGGAGAUCAGAGCCACUGCAGGAGCCUCUCUCUCCUAUAUCGUUUAUGGAGCUCCCACGUGAUUGCGCGUGACAGUCUGGCACCUUCAGGCCUAAUCUCCCGCAUAUUACUGUGCAUUCUAACAUUAUGGCCGCAAUACAGAAAAAGAUGUUGAAAGGUGCCUUAAAGGAGGGUGCGAAGCCCAAAAGGCAGAGGAAAGCCUUGUGCAUGAGCCUUAAACUUGAAGUGAUUAAGCGCCUUGAACGGGGGGAACGAAACCGAGACAUCUGCAAGGCGCUGCGCUUGUCUUCGUCCACGGUGCGCACCAUUUAUUUGAAUAAGGACAAAAUCCAGAAAACCGCAGAGUCUGUGGUCGAUGGCGCAAAAUUAAAAACUGUCUUGAAGGCCAGGCACCCGCUUUAUGAGAAGCUGGAAAGCCUCUUGCUGCAGUGGAUAGAGGACCAGUUGAGUCGCAGCACGAUUUUAAGUUAUAUCGUCAUCCAGCAGAAGGCAAUUUCCUUAUUUGAGGACUUGAAGAAAAAGAUCAUUGAGGAAGGUGACGAGAGGGUAAUAGACAUGGAAUUCAAGGCCAGUCAUGGUUGGUUUGAGCGAUUCAAAAAGAGGGCUUAUCUGCAUAACCUACGGCUCACGAAUGACGCUGCGCCCGAAGACAUCGAGGCUGCCAGAGUUUUCCCGGGGGAGCUCCUAAAAAUCAUCCAAGCAGGCGAUUACCAUCCAAAACAGAUUUUCAAUAUCGAUGAAACAUGGUUGUUCUGGAAACGUAUGAUGUCUGGAACACUCAUAUCACAGGAGGAGAAGAAAGGGACGGGUCACGUGAUCUCAAAGGACCGACUGACGCUGUUGCUUGGUGGAAACCUUCACGGGGACGUCAAACUGAAGCCACUAAUCGUCUAUCAUUCCCAAAACCCAAGGGCUCUGAAAGGCAUCAACAGGAAUUCGCUUCCCGUUUUUUGGCGGUCAAACAAAAAAGGCUGCAUGACCCAGCAAGUGUUCUAUGACUAUGUACAGAAUUAUUUUUGUCCUCUUGUUGAGAAAUACUGCAGGGAAAACAGUUUUUCCAACAAGGCCCUCUUAAUCAUUGACAGCGCCCCUGGGCAUCCAACAACUGUGAUAGGUUAUGGUGACAAUGUGCAAGUUGUGUUCUUACCAGCAAACUCAUCGUCUUUACUACUACAGCCCAUGGAACAAGGCGUCAUUUCAACAUUCAAAGCCUACUACAUGCAGCUGGUUAUGAAAUAUCUUGUCGAUGGACUUGACAGCAACAGCAAUUUGACAAUAAAAGAACUGUGGAAGAAUUACAACAUGAAGAUAGCCAUCGAAAACAUAGCAACCGCAUGGGAGAAAAUACCGGAGGAAACCAUGAAUGCUGUUUGGAUGAAGCUUCUACCGGAAUUUGUGCAUGACGUCAAAGGCUUUGAAAGUGUUGAAAAGACCAUUAAAGAAGACAUUGUGAAACUGGCUUAUAGAGCUGGUUUCGAGCAGGUUCACACUGAAGAUGUUGAGGAGGUGCUGGACUCCCAUACAGAAGAGCUGACUAAUGAAGAGCUGAUUCAGCGUGACGCGGGAGGUCUCGACGAGGAUGACGAGCAGGAGGAUGAGCUGCCGAAAGAGAUGAGCAUACAAGCACUGCGCCAGUAUUUUUCUCUUAUUGAUCGUGCUAAUGUUUUCCUGGAUGAAAACGAUGGCAACCUUGAAAGGGUUCGGCAAGUGAAAACCCGCAUCUCUGAAACCAUUCAGUGUUACCGAGACCUUUACGAGAGGAAGGUGAGGGAUGCAGCGCAGACAAGUAUCUUCUCAUUUUUCCGUCCAGUUGCUUCUUCUGCUUUGGAGCCUCAACCGUCCACCUCAGGCAUCUUGAAAUGUUGCAAGAAAGUUGAAGAGGAGGAGGAGAACAUCAUGGAUUCAUCUUUAAUGGAAUAUGAAGAGGUUACAGUAGGGGCUUCCUCGCCUCUUCCGUCAUUCAUUAGGUUACCAGCAUCAUGCAACAUUCAGCUCACACAUGCGGAGAAACUAAAUUACUGGUUGCCAACGUCAUCUUCUUCCUUGCACACGGUUCCCUGUUGUCGCUGGCAUCUAGCAAAACCCAGUCAAGACCAGCAGUGACAAUGAGCGACAUCUUGUUUGAGGACGGUGAACUUUUAGAGGCGAGGCUUGUUCGCUCUCCUCGCCAUGACCGCCUUCUUUGGGAAUGAGUGAAAAUCACCCGCUGGCUCCUGUAAUGGGAUGUGAGCAGAACAUGUGCUGGCGCUCACGGAUCCCCCCCCAACGGAGAACUCGCGGCACAGAGAGUGCCAUCUGGAGUGCCAGUCCAGGGGGAGGACGGACGAGUGGAAAGGAGCUAAAAACCAUUCCGGCAAGAUGCCCAUCAUGACCUCCUUGCCCUUCGGAGCAUGUGUUCUUAACAGACUCUCGGGAAGUACACACCUUCUGGCACAUUCUGAGCUGAAGCAGACUAAGAGGCCGCUUCCUGACCCCCAGCGGCCCUCCUCUACCGCUGGCCCGGGACUGACCGGCCGGGCUCCUGCCCGAGGCCUCGAUGGAUUCAGCACGACGUGAAAUGUGCCGGGUGUCACAGGAGCCACGCGGGAGGUGCCCCCGACACAAAGAGCUCAAGCGCUUUGCCUCCCUGUAUUCGUUGUAAUUAAAAUUUUACUGCUGUUGGUACACAUCUAUUUCAUAUCCAAAGGGUUUUUAAGUCAGACUGCUUCAUUUUGAAAGGUUACCUUUGAUUAAGUGCUGAAAGUGAUGAAGGUAACAGAAAGGGUGAGUAUUAAAACCCCAGAGUAUUAAAAUAAAGCUGCAGAAAUAAGCCAUGACCCCCAAUCCCAAAGUCAGCAGCCCUAACUGCUACGCCACCCUGCACCGGACACAGCGGUUGUCUAUCGCGGAGAGAUGGAGAGGGGUGUCGCAGCUUCUGAUGAUGUUUUUACGCCACUUAAUGCAUGUAAAAACGGAGCGAUGCACGUUUUAUUCGGCCCUUCUUUACUGUGACUGAGCUAUAAAAUUGGUAUUAUGAACAAGUCGAGUUGCGAACAGGCUUUUGUUCCGAUGGUGUUCGUAAGUUGAGGAGCCGGCACAUAAUGUGUGUUCUGCACUUCGGUUCCCACUUUGAUCGUAUCGUGUUACUCGUUGCUUGCCUCUCUCCGUGAAAGCGUGACACGAGGGGGAUACACACACACACUCGUGCCGAAGUGUAUUCCCCAAGCUGCCCGCUUAUUUUCCCUCCGCAAGCUGCAGGUCCCAUGGGGCGUGAAGGAAGGUGUUGUUCACCCCCCUGCAGUUGUGAAGGUAUGAUCAUUUAAAUACUGUGUCUUGUCCUGGCUGUUGGAUUUGAGGUGUUCUGAUCUGCUCGCGUGAAAUUGAAAGCAAGCAAAAGAUGCAAAUAAAACUCAGUUUCAAUGAUGGGGAUCAGCAGUUUAUUCUCAUCGGUCACUUUCCGCCAGGACUGAC